ACUAGGCGCGAAUAGAGUAGGGCGGGACACGUGAAAUCCUGUCUGAAUAUGGGGGGACCAUCCUCCAAGGCUAAAUACUCGUAAUCGACCGAUAGUGAACAAGUACCGUGAGGGAAAGGCGAAAAGAACCCCGGGAGGGGAGUGAAAUAGAUCCUGAAACCGCAUGCAUACAAAAAGUCGGAGCCGCAAGGUGACGGCGUACCUUUUGUAUAAUGGGUCAGCGACUUACAUUCAGUGGCGAGGU
rnacentral:rRNA from 1 species